rnacentral:lncRNA from 1 species
CGGUCCGACGGUGGAACCCACUCGGGGGCCGCGGGGCAGGAGGGCGAAUGGCUUCCACGCUCGGGGCUCAGGGGCUGGAGGAGAGGAAGCCUGAGGAGGAGGAGGAGGAAGGCCGGCGCAGGGUGACUGAUGCUGACCCAAGCCCCAGGAAGCCUCCGCUCUCCCUAGGGCGGGAAAGCAGCUUUGGGGGGUGUCAGGCCACACCCCUGUGAUGGAAACCCGUGUGGGGGGCCCCGACGCUGGGAUCAGGGAGCCCAAAGUGGCCAAGGUGUCGGGGCUCGCAGGGUUUGCUAGGGUCGGCAAGGCUGGAGGGGGCGGGGGGGAGUUUGCUGGGAGGGAGAGGAAAAAACUGCUCUCUAAACUCAGGCAGCAAAGUCCUGGCGCGCAAAUGGCUUUUCACUUCUCGAAGCUCGAGGCUCGCUACUGUGAACAAACCUUGAGGUUCGAAACAGCUGCAAAUAAUCAAUUUGGGAAAAGUCCUUUCACAAGCUGUUCCAGUAUUGAUAGUUUUUUGAGGCCAUUAUCUACCUCUGGAUAA